rnacentral:lncRNA from 1 species
GUGUUUUAUUAACCUAUAGCUAUACAAUAUAAAAAUAUUAUAGUAAAUGGCUUACUUUAAAUAUUGUUGUUGUUACAGUAUGGAACAGUAAAAGACAUAGUUAUAUUUACUGAAUUGAAUGAGUUUAAUAUCAUGAAAAGUAGUACUUACAGAUUCACAACUGAAUAUAUAAUAUAUUUUAUUAAUUCAUACAUUAUUUAACAAUGGCAUGUCAUUCUAGUACAAUACCGUAUUGAACAAUGAAGUGAUUAAAU